rnacentral:rRNA from 1 species
AUGAGCUGUUUGAGCUGGAACUGCCGGGGGCUUGGGAACCCCGAGGCAGUUCGUGAACUUCGCAGCAUUGUGAAGUUGGAAGGACCCACUCUUCUCUUUGUAAUGGAAACAAAAAUCAAAGCAAAAAGAGUUGAGGUUUUGAAGCACUCGCUAGGUUUCAGUGGGUGUUUUACUGUAGACAGUGCCGGCCUCAGCGGCGGUAUUGGUCUUUUUUGGUCUCGAGAUGUAUCUGUCGAGUUAAAAAACUAG